GCCCUAGUAGUUUAGUAUUAAAACAUCGGUCUUGUAGUCCGAAAAGCGAAGAUAAGUUUCUUCCUAGAGCA
rnacentral:tRNA from 1 species